GACGGAAGGUGCAAGCGUUGCUCGGAAUCACUGGGCGUAAAGGGUGCGUAGGCGGCCGCGCAAGUCUGGCGUGAAAGCCCCGGGCUCAGCCCGGGAAGGGCGCUCGAAACGGCGCGGCUCGAGUGCCGGAGGGGAGAGUGGAAUUCCCGGUGUAGCGGUGAAAUGCGUAGAGAUCGGGAGGAACACCAGAGGCGAAGGCGGCGACCUGGACAGUUACUGACACUCAACUACGAAAGCGUGGGGAGCAAACAGG
rnacentral:rRNA from 1 species